rnacentral:rRNA from 1 species
UACGUAGGGUGCAAGCGUUAAUCGGAAUUACUGGGCGUAAAGCGUGCGCAGGCGGUGAUGUAAGACAGUUGUGAAAUCCCCGGGCUCAACCUGGGAACUGCAUCUGUGAUUGCAUCGCUGGAGUGCGGCAGAGGGGGAUGGAAUUCCGCGUGUAGCAGUGAAAUGCGUAGAUAUGCGGAGGAACACCGAUGGCGAAGGCAAUCCCCUGGGCCUGCACUGACGCUCAUGCACGAAAGCGUGGGGAGCAAACAGG